GUACGGAGGGUGCGAGCGUUAAUCGGAAUCACUGGGCGUAAAGCGAGCGCAGACGGUUUAUUAAGUCUGAUGUGAAAGCCCGGAGCUCAACUCCGGAAUGGCAUUGGAAACUGGUUAACUUGAGUGCAGUAGAGGUAAGUGGAACUCCAUGUGUAGCGGUGGAAUGCGUAGAUAUAUGGAAGAACACCAGUGGCGAAGGCGGCUUACUGGACUGCAACUGACGUUGAGGCUCGAAAGUGUGGGUAGCAAACAGGAUUAGAUACCCUGGUAGUCCACACCGUAAACGAUGAACACUAGGUGUUAGGAGGUUUCCGCCUCUUAGUGCCGAAGCUAACGCACUAAGUGUUCCGCCUGGGGAGUACGACCGCAAGGUUGAA
rnacentral:rRNA from 1 species